rnacentral:snoRNA from 1 species
UGGGCCGGUGAUGACAGCUGGUGGCGUGUGAGUCAUGGAUGGUGAGUACUAAGUGUCUGGAACUCUGAGGUUCAA